rnacentral:sRNA from 1 species
ACCAAGGGCUUCACAUUUUUGAAAAUCUGUAUUUAAUCUAACACUAAAUGUUCUCUUUCAGUAACAGCAAAAUCUUUAGUUAUUAUACCACUUAGCAAAACAAAAAUCAAAUUUUAAAUGAAAAUGUGCACACACAAGGGAAUGCAUGUGUCUGCCCGUUCUUGUGUUUUGGAAAGGAUGGAUGUACACACGUAGAGAUCAGAGGACAACCUUGGGUUUCAACCUUACCCUUCACCUAGUUUGAGACAGGAUCACUCUUUGUAACUCAUUGUUGGAAUCACAAGGCUGAGUAGCCACCAAGUGUUUAGAGAAUCUUUUGUCUCUACCCCCACCUAGCUACAGGAGAACUGGUAUUACAGAACGCAUGAUACAAUGUCUGGCUUUAUGUGGGUUCUGGAAUUCUGAAUAUAGGUCAUCAGGUUUACAUAGCAGUGCUUUAUCCUCUGGGCCAUCUCCCCACCCAGAGGGUAUUGAUUUCUUCCCCAGUGCUCUUUGAUCCCACGGCACAGUUGUAUCUUUGCCUUCAUAAAGAGAGGUUCAUCAUAAGAUAAAACGGAAUAAUAUUUUCAAACAGCAAUAGCUUCAUGAUAUAAGGCUACUUGAAAACCCAAUAAAAUGUAUCUAUCUACCACUUGGCAGUUCCUGUUGUGGAUCUCAGGAUUUGCAGCUGGAUUACACUGAUUGUUACCUUAGUCUCCUGAUUGAGUCCUGAGAGCCUUCCAGCCCUCUGAUAAGUAGUCAGUUAUAGCUUCUAGAAGAAUCCUGUUGCCGCGCGUCUUUCUUACUGGCGGGA